UUCUUUGUUAUAGGUUCUAUUAGAAGUAAUUUUAGUUUUUUAAGUUGUAUAUUUUUUAGUUUGCUUUUCUUAAAAGGGUUUUGGUUUUAUAUAUGUCACAUAUGACCUGUCAGUAUUUUUCUGUUCAAAGAGUGUAGGAUCCUUCGCCUUUGGGAUACUCUGUUACCUACAUCGCCCCACUCAGAAAAACUAAUAUUGCCUAAUUCUCUAUUUUAUUUGAAAAAAAAAUCUACACAUUUUCAUUUUAAUUAGUUUCUUUUUUCUAUUCUCUAUAUAUGAAAUUAUUUGGUGUGUUCAACUUCGUAGCUCUCUUAAUAUCAACAAUAUAAUGAUCAUUCCUAACUCAAGAAAAUAAAAUGAUCAUUUCCUUUUCAUAAUAAGCCGUGGAUAUCAUUAUUGUAACUAAGACUAGAUCGAUUGAUGCAGAAUGUGAUGUAAUUAGUUGGUGGUAUUUAAUAAUUAGUUGACGAUUUUGAUGUUCUUAUAUAUACACUUAAAUGAAAAAUAACUUUCAUUUAUGCAUAAAAAUAUGGUUACAAUAUUUAGGGAUAUUGUAAAUAUCUUUCAAAGGUUAAUUUAUCUUCCACUCUAACAUCAACCUCUAUACUGCACAUCAAACGAUGGAUGAUCCUAAACCUAAACAGUUUGUUGUUGGCACUUUAAAAGAGUCAUUCUACUUAUCUAAUUUAGAGAAUUAAGCGGCAUAAUAGUUAUAUAACUAUAUUAGCACUUAGACUGAACAAUGUAGGACUAGACUAACUAUAGUGUUUAUCACUCUAAUAAAGUAUGGGAAAUGGUUAAUACGAUCGCAAAUAAUCUUAAUUUUGAACUGACUAAAAAUAACGUUAUAUUAAAAAAAAACUAACUACUCAAGAUGUAAGGAUUAACAGAUAAAAACAUAAUGAUAUCAAUCACGAUAUGGUGAAACGGACCAUUUCAAAAAUGUGAAAAAUAUCAUUUUGUUCCAAACAAAAUCGACACCUUUAGUUGUACAGGCCACUAGAUCGAGGUACUAUAUUUGUCUGACCAAAAAAAAAAAAAAAAAAAGAGAAAAGAAAUUGGACAUUGGCUACUCAAUUGGAUGAUUGAUACCUCUUCAACGUGUUCAGUCUGAAAUCAGAAAUUUAGGCAGUCGGUGACACGAAUGGAACAAAUAAAAAAUUACAUUGCUAAAUUAUUCAAAGUAAGGUUAUAAAAGACGCUAGGUGCUAGUCAGACGACAUGCUGGGGUCUAGUGUCUAUAUGGUUAGGCGGGCUUAGACAGGUGUCUAGGCGGACUAGGCAUAUUUAAGUAAAUAUAUUACAUAUCAUAUAAUUAAUAAGUGUCUAAUUAUACUUGAAAAAUAUAUAAUUUUAGUGGGAUACAUAAAUUGUAAAAUAGAGUGACAUAGAAAUUAUAAAAUAUUAGAACAUAAUAAAAACAUAGGGAACAUGCAUAUCAUGUGGGUUCAUCUAAGUAUUCAACAAGUUUCUUACAAUUUAUUGAAGAAAAAAAAUGACAAAUGAAAGUUACAUAUUUUCUGUCUAAACCUAAGCGGGUGUCUAGGUGGGUCUAGGUAGGUUAGGUGGUAGCCUAGGCAUGUCUAAGCGCUAUUUCUUAAGUUUCAAAUGGCUAAGGAUUAAUCAGAAUGGUGAUUAGACGCCCUGUUUAGACGACGCAAGACGAAAAUUUUUAGACAGUGGUUCAAAGGGAUCCAGUGAGUAAAGACUAGACAGAACACAUGUGACGAAAAAGCUAGGGUUUGCUUCAUUUAACAGCCAAUUUAUUUUUCAAGUGCAUUUUCACCAACAUAGGAGAGACUCAGACCAUGCAUUUAACAUUUAGCGUUUAACAUUUGACAUGACAGAUAAUAUAGGUCUCCUUUCCCUGUGUUGUCGGUGCAAUUUCACAGAUGCAAAAUAGGACCAAUUGCCAAUUUGAUACCACCUCUAGCCUCCCACCCCCUCACCAUCACAGUCGUGCCAACAACCUCUCUAAAUUGUGGAACACAUGCAAAAGUUCUUAUUUUGUGAGAAAAUCUGUAAACUAUCAGAAGAACAAGUUCGAUUAUUGAUCAAUGACUAGAUUUGCCAUUUCUUAAAAUAAAUAAAUAAUCUCAUCGAAACUGCAAUGUGAUCAAUUUAAUGUAAAUAGUCCGGAAUACUCAAUCAUGCAGAAAAUCAAAUAUAAUAUCUCUAUAUAUGUAUAUAGUCUCAAGACUCCACAUGUGGCAUGCCAAGUAACGUCGUUUCAAUGUACAUGAUGAAAAUACGAAAUCAUCAAGUGUUACUUUCCCAUUAAUACAGAAGGAUGAAGAGCCAGAGCCAGGCUGUGUGAAACUUGAAAGCUACGAGUGUGGAGCAAUGGUGAAUUUUAGCCACAAGACGACGUAUAUAUCCUUCAACGUUUUAUAUAAUAUAUUUCAGCAUUAUUCUUCUCUUGUUCCCUUCUUUCUUUUUUGUUUAAGAUUUUUUGGACACGAACAUUUAUUUCAGUGUAUAAUAAUAAUGCAACUUCAUCCUCCCAGUACACAUGGGUCUUUAAUCGCCUCGACUGCAACCAACCGUGCGUAUUCAAUGAGCUCGUCCUGUCGCAUUUUUGCAGCAUAUAUGUGGUUUGCAUCGACUGAUCGUAUAAACUGGAAAAAUGAAAAUAGUUUCACUCAAUUAUACAACACUUCACCACCGCAGGGUCUAUCACUUUGUAUUGCUCUUUCUGCUUUCAAACUUUACACCAAUUCAAUGUAAUAAAUGAACCAUGUUAGUUGUGAUCAACCUUUAUUGUCAAACAGUGUUAGCAUCAGUCAUUUAAGCACUCUAGGCCGUUGAGGCUUGUGUGGAUAUCACAACGCGUUAACGGCUCAUAGUUAGCCAUGAGUGUAUAUAUGGGCAACAUGCUAGCUAGGUUCUAUAUUAUUGGUGCAUGUGAGGCACCAACGUGUCAUAGUCAUACACUGCAUGCAACUGAUGCUAGCUGAUAGGAUUUUUUACUACUCAUGUGAAAGGGCUUAAAUCUCCUAUUUUACUUGCAAGAAUCACAAGGUUAUUGUAGUAUAAACGGAUCUCGCAAGGUCGUCUCCACAGGGAUUAUUAAAUAAUUCGAACUAAUCAGAUUCCAUUUAAUUAUUGUAAAGUAGAAAUUGAAGUGAUUGAUUUUAUAACCUAAUUAAAAUAAAAACGAAAUUAAUGAAUUAAAAUAAACAAUCUGCAAUAUUAGAGCUAGAGAGAAAAGAAAACAGUUUUGGAAGAAUAAAAUUAAGAAAGCACUAGGGUUCCACCAUCACCUAGCAAUCCUAUGAAUUUUUACCAAUUACUUAUAAUCUACACAUGCCAUUUUGAAGAUUAGAUUUUCCUAAUUCAUAUUCUACUUGGAACCUCCAACAUAGAACGUAUAUCUAACAUGCAACCCGUCCGGACGUUCGGAUCAAAUCUAAACAUGAAAGACUCAUUAUGCUUUAUGAAAAUCCUUUGAAAAAUCAUGCAAUCCUUAAGACGUGAUAUUCAUCUUAAGAGAAAUUACAAUUAUUAAUCACAAGAAGUCAGCGUCAAUUUCAGGGAACCUUCCGACCAAAAUUGCAUCAAAUUACUUUUCUAAAGAUCCUAAUGGUGAUCAGGCAUUACGACAAUUAGAUAGUUUUUAUUCCGGUGAUUAACAAUUCAAAGUACGCAUGCAAUCAAUCAUAAGCAAUUAAAUAAAAAUCACAUAUUCAUGCUAAGGCUCAAGGCUUCGCCCUAGCAAAAGAAAUUAGUUCCGCAUAUUCAUAAUUGAUCAUAGAAAAUAUAUUCAAGAAAAGGAUUGAAAGCACCUUCAAGUAAAAAGUCUUCAAAACCCUCCCAAUUCUCUGUCUCCAAAAUUGCAUAAAAGAAAGCGUUCCAGCAAAAAAAAUGGUAGACGGCCAAGCAAAUUAUCUGCUAAACCUCUCCACACAAACCCUAGCAAACUAAAAUUAAUAAAAACCCUAAAUAAAAAUAGCAAAAUUCGUCCAAAAUCUGAACAGCCACGUUUUGACCCAUAAGCUGCUCCAAAACUGGCCCAAUAUAGCUGGAUUUAAUGUUUGGAAUAUUCUGAACACUUUUCCAGAAGGCCACGAACCCAUCCGAGGUCAUCUUGGGCUCCAAAAAUGCAAUUUAAGCCCAAAAACGUCAUUUUCCAACACUGCGCACUGCUUCUUUAUUUUAUCGCCAGAAAAUAACCGCUUGGUGAAAAAUCCCAAAUUUUGAUACGAUCAAGCUAAGUGACUCACGAACAUUCUCCAACUGGAAUUACUCCAAAAUUCGUCCAUUUGAUCCUGUUUUGCUCCAGAGGAAAUCGAAAGUCCUAUAUUGAAAAUACAAUUCAAAGUAUCAAAAUUCUUCCAAAAUAUUAACCAAAAUAUACUAAGAUUAGGGUAAAAUAUAUAAUAUAAAAUCUACUCAUCACUAGCAUAAAUUAUCUUUCAAUCUUAGCUCUACACUAAAAUGUAUGUCGUACGCUCUCAAGCAUACAUAUAGGUUUCUUUUGGUGUCUAGUAUUGAAUGAAUGUUGCAUAAUUCAAUAGAUUCAUUGUACGUUGAAUGACCAAGUUUUAUCCAAAUUGAAAUCAACUUCUAAUUUUGAGCAGGGUUAGUCGUCUAUGCAUUCUAGAUCGUUGAGGCAUGAGAGUAUCACAGGACGUCAAUGGUGCAUGGUCAGCUACACGUGUUUAUGAACAUCAUGUACUAACUUUCAUACUAUAGAUGCAUGUGAGAUUUCAACAUUCUAGUGUCAUAAACUUACAUGUAGACGACUAAUUUUAGCAUAUAUAACUAUUAUGUGUGAGACUUAUCUUUACCCUAAAAAUGUAUGUCAGAAUGCCCUCAAUCUGACACGUAGUGUAGACUUGAAAUAUCAUCUUCCUUGCAUCAAAUUUGAGUGGGAACUUUGAUAAAGAUGAAUGGUCCAUAGUGUAAGGUACAGAGAAAAGUCACUGCACUAGUUGAAUAUAAAGUGGGUUGCAGUUGAAAAUAAAUAUGUUACAAGAAGGGAGUGAAACCAAUUAUUAUUCUACUCAUAAGAGCAUUGAGAUCAUCCUCCCCUCAUGCAUACAUACUAGAAUACAUCUUGUAAAUGCAGCAAAUCACUUCUCCAGGAAAAGUCACAGCAUCUUUAACUGAGUUCCUAAUCAAGAAGGUGACAUAUGUCAAACUUCAAAGGCUUAUUCAACUCACUACUUAAUGUCAGUGUCACAUACAUUGUUUGGAGAUUUUAUUCAACUUCUCAGUCAGACCUUCGCGGCUCUUUUUCUCAUCUUGUAAUAUUUUCUAAUGAUUUGAACAAUGUACUUUCUAGGUUAUCCUUAAAAAACGACUCUACUUAAAAUCAAUCAAAUUACAAAUCAUUUAACUGUUCAAUUAAUGUUGUCAAAUUUCAGCGUCUAAAUAAAAUCCACAAUUGAUCUAUUUAUUGGAUACACGUUAGAUGACUAAAAAAUUUCAUAUUUUGGUUUAUUUUUGACAAUCUUUAAACUUGGUUUAUUUUUAGCAUCCGAAUUUACAAGGCGACCUAGAAAAUGAUAGUUGUGAUCAUGGUACAACAUUGUAGGAUAUGAGAAUGAGAGCCAAGAAGUAGAACGUGAGGAUGAAGGUGAUACUAUGUAUACUAGUCCAAAGGAUAUGGACCAUUUUCUAAAUACUCUUCUUCUGUCGAGACUCAUGGGUAAGAUGGGAGGCAAAAAGUUGCAGGAAUGCGGCGAUGAAGUAAUGAAGUGAUGAAACAAUACAGGGGUUUAGGAUACUAGCCCAAAGGGUUGCCCAAGAGCCCAAACUUUUCCCAGACCCUUUGAAACAAACUUCCCAGCCACCGCCAGUAUUGCAUUCCUUGCAAAAUUAUUACUAACAAAGAAGAGAGAACAUACAAAGCUAGAGUGGGAGAGAAGAUAUUGACAAGUUUAAGAUAAAGCAAUUCCAUUUCUUAUUCAUCACUAACAUUUGAGUCGAACACCUUAAGCUGAAAGUAAUAGCUUAGUUCUAAAUACACAGGGUAAUAAUUGACGGUGCAGCUAUCCACAUCUCAAGCACCCUUCUUAUCAACAAUUUGGUUUCCUCACAACGAGAACGAGGUGUUCAGAUUCCUGAAUUCAGCGUUUUACAAUCUUCGAAGAAACCUGGGUUGACAAACCAAUAUUAAUCAAUACCCAAAAAACACGUCGGAUGCAUGCACUGUUUACCUUAUAAACAAAAGCUUCUUGGGACAAACUACAAGUAAAAGUUGAAAACUCAGUUUUGUUGAGUAACUUAUAUUAACUUUCCGGCAAAAGGAUUCAUUGUUUUCGGUCACAAUACAAGUUCCACGUAUAAACAACAAAGAAAAAUUGCGGGGACUAUGAUCUUCCUUUUUUCCUUCAUUUUUAAGCUAUUCUCGUGUGUAUCCAGUAAUUUUCCACUUCAAGUGAAGAGGCUAAUUAACUAAGCACAAAUAUUUCUUAAGCAUGUGAGGGCAUUACUGGCAGCAGAAACAUUAAAAGUUAAAGCAGCAAAGCGGAUCCCAAAUAUUUAUCUUUGCUCAUUCAAAUAAGGCAACAGAUAAUUUGACGUUCAUGGAGCCUAGGUAGUAGAGCAACAAUCAAACAUAACGCAAGUUAGCAUGGUUGAGGUCCUUGAGGAAUUACAGCAGAGUACCAACCACUCAGUACUCAGGCACAUUGCGAGUGGCAACCACAUCAAAAUAUGACCAUUCUGUGUUCUAAUGAUUAUUUAACGAACUUCAUAAAUAAAAAUUAACCAUGUGUGGGCAUUUAUGGCAGCAGAAGCAUUACAAGCUUAAGCUGCAAAGUGAAUUCCAACGUCUAUUUUUGCACAUUGAGACUAGGCAACUAACAAUUUGAUGAUCACAGAGCCUUGCUCUGGUGCAAUGUCAAACCUAAUGCUAGUUCACAAGACAGACGAACUACAAACCGCUUACUUAGAUUGCUAGUGUGGCAACUACGUCAAGAACAUUGCUCCAGAACUGAGCUUCGAGCGUGUGAUUUUCUGUUCUAGUGCAGUAAAUGGAUAGAAUAUCCCUUCACAGACAAUAAUGACUGAACAAUGUGUGGGUUUUUACUGGCAGCAGAACACUCGAAAUUUAAGCUGCAAAGCGGCUCCCAACAUCGAUUUUGCACAUUGAAAUUAGGUACCCAAUAAUUCCAUAUGGUCGUGGAGCCUAUUUAAUAGUGCAACAAUCAAACCUAUACCAAUUUACCAUUGAGUUAAAUUGGAUUGGAGAAACAUUCAACAACAACCAAGUCUUAUCCACUAAAUACAGUCGGCUAUAUGAAUCAUAAACCGUUACCAUGCUAGGUUUUACACCAAGUCUUUCAUUAACGUACUCCAUAUUUUUCUUUAUGUCUCUUCAAAACUACAGCUGUAUUCAUUUGAAUAACAUUUAAACAAAUCUUGAAUAGGGUUAGAAAUGCAAAAAAAUUGGAAUGUUUGCUUUAAAUUAAAAUUUUGGGGGCACAAAUAUAUCGAAAUCAAACAAUUAUUCUGCAAAUUCAACAAAGAUUGUAAAUUUAUAGACUGAUAAAACGAUACCUUUGGAAUCUGAAUUUGGGGAAGUAGUCCAAAACCCUAAUUUGAGCCGCCAAGAGGGCAAUGGACUGAGAGAACCGUUGGGUUAUAUAUACAGGGGAAAAUGGUAUUUCUUGCCUUGCCCAUUGAACUUUUAUGCGGUUGCCAAUUUGCUCUCUAAAAUUUAAUUUUAGCUGAUUACCGAUUUGAACUUUUUUUAAUUAACCAUUUUCUUAUUGAACUUUAAUUUUAGCCGAUUACCCCCUAACUUCUAUAAAUAGCCAAUCCCCCCCCCCCCCCCAGUGUUGGAUUUCAAAACUUUCAUUCAGAUUUUCAUCCAUCCAAUUUGUCAUCCUUUUUGCCCUCAACAGUUGUCAUGUGUUGUUUCCAAAUUGGAUGAACAACGUCAAGGAGAAUUGGUUAUUUAUAAAAGUUCAGGGGCAAUUUGCUAAAAUUAAAGUUUAAGGGGAAAUUGGCUAAUUAUAAAUUUUCAAGAGGGUAAUCGGCUAAAAUUAAAAUUCAAGAAGAAAAUUGGCAGCUCCAUACAAGUUCAGGAAGCAAAUCGACAAAUAUGCCUUUCUAAAAUUAGGGCAUUGGCAGGGGAAGCCGCUGUAUCCAACGGUUGGAGGGAGAAAUCGCGUAAUCGUAUGGUCAGUAUUUAAUUUCAUCAUAGGGAUAACAGUUAACGGUUUCUGGAUUUUACAGUUCAUGCAAAUUCAGUAAGGGUUGGGCCUUUUAUUAAGUCGGUAACUUAUAAGUUUGGGCUAGGAAAUGGGCUUCAAUUUAAAUUCGGAAUGUGGCCCAUUUUGACUUGGGAAAAUAAAUUCAUGUCGCGGUUGUGCCCCCUCUCUCUCUCUCGAGUUUUUUUUCUUGCAUCUCUCUUUACGUGACUUUACAUCCAUUUGUUCACGUGAUUUAGGAGGAAAUAACUUCUACGUUGCGAGUGCAAUGCACUCUUUGAGUUUUCUCAGUCCUUAUCUUCGGUCACCGGAAAAUAUUAAAAGAUUUUAAUUGAUUUUUAAUAUUUUUAGAAAAUAUAAAAUGAGUAUAAAAGAAAUAAAAACAUAUAAUUAGAUAACUAGACUCAUCCUUAAAAACAUUCAAUGUUUUUGGACCUGGAUCCAAAAGCCCCUUAUUUCAGUAGUUCAUCAAUUUAAGAGUCUUAGCUCAAACAACAUGAUAUUUGAGGGUUAAGAAGGGUGGUUUUCUUUGUACUACAUGCAUUGAGUGUCAUCGUACAAUGACCGUUGUAUUUUACCGAUUCAACGUCUUAAAAUUGGUGAUUCAUGAUCAUUAGAUGUGGUUAGGCAACUUAAAAAGAGAAAUACUAAGGAAACUCUCUAAAAAAAUGUGACUCUUUAUGGGUUUUCUGCCACCUCAUGUCCUGCACAUGUUUUGUAAUAUUGACACAUGAAUAAACUGUGAGGGAACAAAGUCACAUUUUAAGAAAAUCUCCUUAGCAUUUCUUACUUAAAAAAUGUCGACACUCAGUGCUUGUAAGUACCAAAAAAAAAUAAAAAUCAUAUGAAUGGUAUUCAAAGUCUCCAUGUAGGACAAAAUGAAUUCAAAAGUUGUUGGCAUCUACUAUUAGUGUGCAUUUGUUGUACCAGACUAUUUCGGACUGCACUAGUUUUAGAGACUAAGCUGGAGCUGGACUGGCUUAGACUAGACUAAGCUAAAUUAAUUUAGUGAAGCGUUUGGUAUAAUGUCGGAUUAAAAAGCAGAAUAAUAACAAAGUUUACUAUUAUAUUAUUUAAUCAAUAUCUAUUAAUAUUUUAAUAUUUUAAUAUUAAUAUAUUUAUUUAUUCUUUUGUAAUCUUCUUCCUCUCUUAACCUCUUUUUUUUCUUCCGCCCAUCAUCUUCCUCCCUUCUCCCUCUUUUACUCCUUUUUUCUUCGUCCCACUGUCACCCUCCCCACUUCCUCUUUUUCUCCCUUUUCACUUUGUUCUGGUCUUCUCUUCUUCAAAGUAUGAAACUUUGAAUUUGUUUUGAAAUUUUUGAAAUGGUCUAUUUCAUUCAAAUUUUGCAUUGAAUUUUUGAUAUAUGCAUCUCAUUACUGAUCUAAUGAAAAAGGAUAUUCAAAAAAUAAAGAUCAAACAAGGAUCACUUUUUUAUUAGCGAGGUAAUGAAUUUUUUUUUAGAAGGGUUUUUCAUUGAAAGAACAAACUUUUUAAAUUUAUAUGUAAAUAUAUAUAUAUAUAUAUAUAUAUAUUUAUAUAAAAGAAGUUAAUUUGAUGGAAUAUUCGAUUUUUUAAUACCGAAUUGUACUUAUCCUUAUCAUACUUCUUUUGUUUUCCAAGAAGAUUGGAUCAUUAAGAAAAGGAGUUUAUAACUUAGCUCCUUCCUUUUUUUCAUUGAGCUUCUAUUGUUUGUUGGGGUUUGUUCAGAACCAAUGGUAAGUGGAAAGGCGGUUAGAUGAUACUUCAUCAGAUGAUUGUACAAUGAGGACGGUUGGUUAUAGAAAAGAAAGAAUGGAAAAGAAUGAUAAAUAAAGGAAUUACUAAGAAACUAAAUUUCAGUUCCUUGAGAUUACAAUUUCAAUUCUUGGUGUCGGAACAAAUCCAAAGCAGAGCCAGCCAGGUAUUCCUUGGUGAAGCAAAGAUGGGAAAUCUGGGCUGUGGGUUCGUUGGGUUUCAUAAGAGGGAGAGAAAUCAAUUUGAAGCAAAGAAGAGGUUGGGUUGGCGGGAUGAAGGAGAUCAGUGAGACAACAAGAUUUGGUGGCGGGUUCGGCGGGAUGAUGGAGAUCAGCGAGAUGGUAGGAUUUGGUGACUAGAUUUGGCGAUGCAUGCUUGUAGAUCGCAAAUGAUGCAAAUAUUAGAGAGUCAGGAUUAGCAAUCCCAUCUUUUCAGGGGUCCUAGCUAAGACGAGGUAGCGAUGCCUUUAGUCGAAACGAGUUCGACUUAAUCCCAAUAAAGACAAUCCCAGAUCAAACCAAACACGAACUAGUAUGUCAGUCUAGUCCAAUUAAACUUAACGAGCCCAAACAACCAUGCCUUUAAAGUCUUUAAUAACUAGACGGAAAAGGCAGUGCACGAAUCCAUUUGGACAUAAAAUAACGAUGGCAGACAUGCAACGGACAAAUUCAGUGGCCUUGCUCAUUGACCAUAUUCCAUUUAAUGAAGCAUCACUGCAAGAGUCACACCUACCUAGUGUCACAUUUAGUUUAUAUUGCUAUUGCUAAUGAGGAGCAACUUAACCUCUUGCAAUUUUUUUUUUUUUUUUACCGAUGUGAGAGACUGAUUUACUUUCACAUUCUUGUAGGAUGGCUUUCUUUUCGUCAUUAUCAUUAUCAAAUGUAACAGUGCAUUCAUCAUUAUAAUACAUUAUCUUUUCUACCAAAAAAAUGAUAUUCUAAACUAAUUUUAUUUAUAAAAACAAAGAUUUGAACUUAAGUACAAAAGAGUGAAUACACUCUUUAAACAAUUAAUCGAAUGCACGUCAGCUCCACCAUUAUAAUACUUCAUUCGCUUAUUUAGUUUCAAAUAUUAAAUGAGCAUGUAGUAGGAAUUUUAGGCAUCAUUUGGUUUUUAAUUUUGAGAAAUGCUAAGGAGAUUAUAUGAGACUCUCUAUAGAUUCUCUGCCACCUCACAUGUUUGGUACAAUAUUUUAUAAUGUUAGCAGGGAAAUUGUGCCAAAAACAUUAGAUGACUGAGAGUUCAUAAAGAGUCUCACUUUUAAAAGAAUCUCCUUAGCAUUUCUCUUUAAUUUUUAAAAUAGAAAAAUUCAUUUUAAUCCUUAAAAAAAAGUUGAGUUUUAGACUAUAAUAUUGUGUAAAAUUAAAAUCUAAUUUUACUAUCUGAUACAUUUAAUUUUCUCAUUUAUUAAUAGUAUUUUGAUGUUUUAUUCCUUUCGUUUUUCCUAUUUUUGAUGUCUUAAUUACAUUUAAUUCAUUUUCAUUUUCAUUUCAUUCAUCAUAAUAUUAUUUUAUUUUAAUAGCAUUUCUCUUUAGUUUUUAUUUCUUUUGUUUUUCCUAUUUUUGAUGCAUUAAUUUACAUUUAAUUACAUUUCAUUUUCAUUUUCAUUUCAUUUUAAUAGUAUUUUGAUGUUUUAUUUCUUUCGGUAUAUCCAUUGAUACAAAUAUAUGUGUACAUUAAUUCAAUAUAAUACCGUACAUACAUUUUGGUACGUAUAUUUCGGUACAUACAUUUAGGUUCAUUGAAUAUACACUUUCCAAACAUAUGUACAUAUAUCUCAAAAACAUUUUUAUAUCUCCCGGCUCACUACCAUGCCUCUGCACCCGAAGCCAGAGAUUAUUUCUCCCGGCCCGAAGCCAACUCCUAUCUUCGCCCGUAGGUAGAGCAAUGACUACUAGAUGAGCACAAAACAUUGAAUAUACACUUUCCAAACAUAGGUGCAUAUAUCUCAAAAACAUCUUUAUAGCAUAUAGUCAUCCAUCAUAUAUACUAUAAAAAAGUGUGCAAAAAUAUGUUCGUAAGUAGUAUAUAGUCAUGCAUCAUAUAUACUAUAAAGAACAUCAGUUCGAUAAAAUAUGGUAAUUCAAAAUAUUCUCGGUAAGCAUAAUAUCUCAUAAAACGUAAUCAUUAAAACCAUGCUUUCAUGUAUGCAUUUCUACUAUUAAAACAUGCAUUUUUGAAGAGGUUUACUCACAGAUACUUCACCGCCGAAGAGCCAUGCAAACUAGCGAAGACGGAAACGCCACAAUAAAUGCACCUAAGCACAUAAAGGGUCAAAUUAAUAGAACUCUAUCAUAACGAUUGAAUUUGAGAAAAUAGAUCCAGGACGUCGAAAUUAGCCUAGGAUGGGUCCUAAACGAAACUCGAAAAAGUCAACAAAAGUCAAUGUUGACCAGUUAAAGUUAAAGUCAACGAUCAACGUUGACCGUGUCAACGGGUCCGGGCUUGGUCAAGUCAACUAGGUCAAAGGGUUUGGGUCAACCAGGUUGGGCCCAAAGGGUUUGGGUCCAAUGGGUUUUAAGGUUUAAAGGGUAUUGGGCUUGAGGUUAUCAGGCCAGAGGCCUAAGUGGAUUGGCCUAAGGGCUUAGGGUCUAUUCUUUUGGGUCAAAGGGUAUGGGCUUGAAAGCCCGACCCAAGGUAAGGGUUUUAGAAAAUAUAUAAAAUAAAAUAAAUUAAAUAAAUGGGUUGCAUUGGGCUCGAGUUCCACGGGCCAAGGGCCCAAGUUCUACAUGCCCCGAAUGCCUGAUCCUUUUAGGUUUUUUGGGUUUAGUUUCAACGGGCAUUGGGCCUGACAGCCCAGCCUAAAAGUCCUAGGCCCAAAGGCCUGGAUUGGUUUCUCGAUGGGAAGGAAGCCAGAGCCUUCCGUGCUCUAGUCAACGUCAAACCAACACUAUAAGGUAUGAUUUAACCGUGAAAUUGAAGGUGGAGGUGAAAGGGAAAGGUUCCUUACCUUUGAUUGCCGUGAUAUGGAUGAAAUUGGCCGGAGAUUUGAGCUCGACUCCAGGGCUUGCCAAACCUGGGUGCGCUGUGGGUGUCCCAAUGCUUCACAAGGACAUGGGAGAGGGAGAGAAGGUCCAAGUGAUGAUGUUGAUGUCGUCCUUCGUCGGAAGGGAUUGUGUAUAAGUGUGUGAGUGCGGAUCGCCGGGGAGGGGAGAGAUGGGUGUAGAGAGAUAUGUGAGAGUGAGAGGGAUCCGAGAGUGUGAGAGAUAAGAGAGUGACUCGAGUGAGAGAGAGAGUGAGGUGAUGGGGUGUGGGAGCUGCUACGUGGCAGAAAAAGAAGAGGGGAACUGGGGAAACAGAACCGAAGGUGGGCCCCUAGUUGAAUAUCAGAGUGCGCAACGAACAAGACUAACAAAUAAUAUGAAUUUUAUUAAAAGAACGCGAAUGCCGAAACGGCUACAAAACCCUAAGAGACUACAUUGUGGCUAACUUGAUUCUCAAACUAAAUUACAAGCUCUAUUUAUAGAGCAAUAAACCAAAGAAACCCUAAUGCGUAAAUGCCAAAAAUACCCUACUACAAAAUCAAAUCAAAUCUCUAAUUAAUUUCCUAAAUAAACCUAAUAAAUUCUAACACCCCCCGUCAAACUCAUGGCGGUACACGACAUGAGUUUGCCAACAAGCAGAUGUGGAUGCAAGCCUCCAAAUUCCGAUGCCGAUGCCGAUGCCGAUGUCGAUUCCAAUUUCCGAUGCCAAUUUCAAUACGAAAUUUCACCAGUGUAAGUACAAGAUUCCAAUGCCAGUGCAAAUUCCAACUUCCGAACAAACAAACAAAAAACCAUAUUCAAAACCAUAUUUUUUCUUUGCCCGUGUGGGCCUAAGCCUCAAACCAGCCAUACUUUUUUCCAUUUCUUAUGACCUGGGGUCUUCUCCAGAUCGCAAAACCAAAUGAUGCAGCAAACAAGUCUUGCAAAAUAAAGGGAUUGCAGCCGACAGAACAACUCUAGUGAAAAGUCAAACUGCAGAAGGGAAAGCCUAAACGAGACCAAACAGAGUGACCAAGAACAAGGGACACAGAGCAAAGCGGAAGCGAAGCCUAAACGAGACCAAAACUAAACCAAAAACAAAAUGCGACAAAACAAAUUGAUACCAACAAGAACGGAUUGAACCCUAAGGAUCGAACCCGCUCUGAUACCAAGUUGAAUAUCAGAGUGCGCAACGAACAAGACUAACAAAUAAUAUGAAUUUUAUUAAAAGAACGCGAAUGCCGAAACGGCUACAAAACCCUAAGAGACUACAUUGUGGCUAACUUGAUUCUCAAACUAAAUUACAAGCUCUAUUUAUAGAGCAAUAAACCAAAGAAACCCUAAUGCGUAAAUGCCAAAAAUACCCUACUACAAAAUCAAAUCAAAUCUCUAAUUAAUUUCCUAAAUAAACCUAAUAAAUUCCAACACCCCUUGGCACACAAUUAAGGUUUGAAAGCAACCCAUUUCAAAACAAACAUUCCAAAAUUAGUGAAAUUACAAAAAUACUUUUUUUUGUUUCGUAAAUCCCGGAACGGGUUGUCACAAUCUGGACUCUAUACUUCGUCUACUUUUCUUUUUCAACUGCUCUUUCCAAUUCCUUAUCAUUCCAAUAUGACUAUGCUGGCUUUGUUUUUUCGUGUUAGAAUGAUUUGAAGUUGAAUGAGAAUUUAGAAUUGUUCGAAAUGUUUUGAAAUGAAUAUAUGAAGUUAUGAACCAUCCAUAGUUGAAUGAGAUCAUCAAUUGUUUCUACUUGUCAUGUGCACAUUGGUCUGAAGUUCCUCUUUUCGGAUAUGAGGAGAUUUUUAUUUAGCAUUCGAACUCAUGUGAAAAUCCUUUUAAAAUGAUUAAAAACACUUUUAGUGAAAAUGUUUUUAAAAAGCCCUACAAAACACAUAGAAGUGGCUCCUACUGUUGCGCUCCACUACCUUUUCCCAUUUACUACCCAAUUUGUUUACGGUGUCAAUUGUUAAAGUUUGAACAAAUAACGUCUAGGAUUUGAUAACAUCUUUCUAUAUUUAGGGUCAACAGAUACCUAAGUGCCAGGUGAGUCACAUCAUUGAUGCCCUGGAGUUGGUAUAUGCAUCAAUGACUGAAAAUUACACGAGCGCAUUUGGACGAUGUACCACUAGCAUAUUCAGUGACUUUUUCUUCUUCUUGGUCAAUAGCAAAAUCAAUAACUGGGAGCUACACACAAGUAGUUAAACAAUUGUGUCAAUAAUAAAAUUAAUGAUCAAAAAUCACAUACGAUUAGCCGCCAUCAUUGCAUAUAGAAUGAAGAAGAAAAUAAAAUGGGACCAUGAAGAAAAUCAAAUGGGACCAUGAGUCAUAGCUUCCGGGGUCCAAUAAAGAUAAGUUGCCAAUUUUCUACUUCUAAAACUUUAUUUCUCUUGAAAAACGAUAUUUAAGUGAAAAACUAGGUAGCAGAACGCAUUGAAUCUUUUUUAGUGGAAGCAGUCAUUUUUGACAAUUUUCAACCCUCGAUUGAUUUCCUUGUUGGCUUUUACUUACAAUACGGCAAAUUCUUUGUGCGACAUAUUUGCACCUAAUAUCCACUAUUAUUUUCACUCAUCUACAAAGAGAAUCCAAAAGUAACAAACCCCCAAAUAAUAGUAGUAAGGUGACCUAAAACAAAUGAUUCCAUGCCCCACUUAUCGCUUUAAUGAUUGAACACUGAGAUGAAUUGUAAGCUUACAUGAUAAUAAUAUUUGUUUUUUGUUCAUCAACAGAAUGCUGCGUACCUGAUCAUUCGAGGCAUGAAGACCUUGCAUCUUCGUGUGCAACAACAGAAUUCAACAGCAUUGAGGAUGGCCAAAAUUUUAGAGGCACAUCCUAAGGUAUAUAUUUUGUAAACUUAAGUAGCAUUAACCCCUGGGAGGCUAACUAAAUAGGUUACCAGUGUGCGAUUAUUGUUGGAAAGAUUAUAGUACAAAAGUUUAUGCUGGGAUUCACCACUUCGUAUUUGAAAACAGAUGUUACUGAAAAUGUUUAUCGGCAGGUGGCACACGCCUAUUAUCCUGGUUUGCCUAGCCAUCCUGAACAUCAGCUUGCCAAGAGGCAGAUGACUAGUUUCGGUGGUGUUGUCAGUUUUGAGGUGAACAUUAUCGACGCUGUCCCUUUCUGGUAUGCUGUUAUUAUAUUCAUUUGGUUAAUAAUGUUCCUUGAUUAUGCAGAUUGAUGGAGACUUUAUGAGAACCAUUAAAUUCGUGGAUGCACUGAAAAUCCCAUAUAUUGCUCCAUCCUUUGGUGGCUGUGAGAGCAUUGUGGAUCAGCCAGCCACAAUGUCUUACUGGUAUCCCUCUUAACUCUUUUAUCUUAUGGUGGCUUCAUAAAUUUGAAGUUGUCAUGCUAUGUGGUUGAGUCUGAUAAAUUGGGUAGACCUGUGAUCUUGACAUAUCACCGUAUCAAGUCACACCAGAUACUGCAUGAAGGUGCCUACGUUCAGGUGCUUUGGCAUUCCUAGACAUGGUAGUGCAUUAAUUGGUUAAUAAUAUGUUUCUGGUAAAAGAAACAUGGUGUGCCCUGGAUAGAUGUCUACAUGUCGUAUUCGAUAGCAACAUUUAAAGCAUGUUAUGCGAAGCUUAACCAAUUAAACUAGCGGAAAUUGUUCAAGUUGAAGUUUACAGUAAUGGAUUUUUCGUUGAUGCAACUGCUUGGUCGUUUAUACAUUGAUUUCGCUUGAUUACUUUAGGCGGGCUGAAGAUACAGUAAAAGGCCAAUGAUUUCUUCUGUUUGCUGUGUUUUGAUGCUCUUGAAACAGGGAUCUCAGCCAGUCAGAUAGAAUCAAGUACGGGAUGAAAGAUAACUUGGUCCGUUUCAGCUUCGGAGUGGAAGACUUUGAAGAUCUCAAGGCAGAUAUACUGCAGGCCCUGGAGACCAUAUGGACUGUGGCCUGUUUCUGUUUUAUUUCCCAUGUCCAUUGUUGCAUUGGUGCUUCAAUUGACUUUUAUCACCAAUAUGUGAGUUGUGUGGCUCUUACUGUUGCUCUCCACUACCUUUUCACAUUUGCUACCCAAUUUGUUUAGGGUGUCAACUGUUAAAGUUUGAACAAAUAACGUCUAGGAUUUGAUAACAUUUUUCUAUAUUUAGGGUCGACAUAUACAUAUGUGCCGAGUGAGUCACACCAUUGAAGCACUGGAGUUGGUAUAUGCAGCAAUGACUGAAAAUCACACGCGCGCGUUUGAACGAUGUACCACUAGCAUAUUCAGUGACUUUUUCUUCUUCUUGGUCAAUAGCAAAAUCAAUAACUGGGAGCUACACACAAGUAGUUAAACAAUUGUGUCAAUAAUAAAAUUAAUGAUCAAAAAUCACAUACGAUUAGCCGCCAUCAUUGCAUAUAGAAUGAAGAAGAAAAUAAAAUGGGACCAUGAAGAAAAUCAAAUGGGACCAUGAGUCAUAGCUUCCGGGGUCCAAUAAAGAUAAGUUGCCAAUUUUCUACUUCUAAAACUUUAUUUCCCAUGAAAAACGAUAUUUAAGUGAAAAACUAGGUAGCAUAACGCAUUGAACCUUUUUUAGUGGAAGCAGUCAUUUUGACAAUUUUCAACCCUCGACUGAUUUCCUUGUUGGCUUUUACUUACAAUACGGCAAAUUCUUUGUGCGACAUAUUUGCACCUAAUAUCCACUAUUAUUUUCACUCAUCUACAAAGAGAAUCCAAAAGUAACAAACCCCAAAAUAAGAGUAGUAAGGUGACCUAACUUUGUAUUUUUAUGUUAAUUUUGAUGCCUGAUUUCAUUUUUGUCGACCGUUGAAUUGUCAUGAAAUUUUAUAAUGUUGUUGUGUAAGUAGUAUGAUGCCCUAGGAAAUUUACGGAUUGGAUACCCAAUGUACGAAUCUUUUAGAUUGGAAUACUUAGAGUUGAUGACCUUAGGGGGAUCACACUAUAUUAUAUAUGUCUAUAUUUCUGCCUGAUUAAACCGCAAUGGGGACCACACUAUUAUAUACAUAUCAUCAUCCAUCGUUGGCAUAGUGUUUUUCUAUAAGAACAUCUAAUGAAAAUUGGAAGGUGCAAAACGUCUUAAAAUGUGUAUUUUACAUUUUUGGUCGGCCGGAAAACUCCAAUGGAGAGGUAUAAAUAUCCAUGUUGACGCUCACAAUAUACUUUUUGUUUGAAAUGUUAUUUCUUAGAGUAAAUAUCAUAUACUGUGAGUAAACAUUCGGUAAUAACUUGAGCUAUCACGAAAUCUUCUUGCAUAUAUUAGUCAUUAGGUUGUGAACAUUCUUGCAGUUACAAGUUAAAAAGCUACAAUAUCGUGUGCAAAUAACGUAGAACUCGAUUGGAUGUACUUUUAAAAUAACUGAAAGCGAUUUUGGUGAAACUAUUUUUGGAACCAAUCUUUAGUAAAAAUACAAGUAAAUUCUGGAAAAACACUUAAAGUGAUUCCUAGAAGAAGCACGUAACUGGUGCUUCUUGCAGAAAUCACUUAAAAUGCUUUUGGAACCCAAAUUUUUUUCUCUAAAAACGUUUUCAACUAUUUUAAAAAUACAUCCAAACGAUCUUGUAAUUCAAGUGAUUAACAACGUUCAUCGAAUGUCCAAAGUUACGAAAAAAAUAAAAAGUUGCAACUCAAUAUAGUGUGUAAAAUUGGAAUUUUGUGACUCAAAAAGUUGGUACAAAUACAUGUUGCGAGUCAGAUUCCACGUCUUGGACCAAAAGAAAAGUCAGAUUCCACGUCGGCAUCAAGCCAACUGGACCAACUUGGUAAAUAAAACCAAAAAAAAUCAGUAAAAAAACAAAAUCAUAAAAUUACAGAAAAAGAAAAGGCGCGUAUUAAAGCUGCAACGCAUUUGCUCUCAAUGUCGUCCAUUUCUUCCCAACCUCGUUUCGUGACGAACCCAAAAUCCCGAAAACUCGAACCCCAUCACUCACCCAUGGCCGUCUGCUCGUAUCCUCCUAGGGUUUUCACUUCCUCCCAGCCCGGCACCCGCCCCCGAUUAUCGGGCCGGGUCGACCCGACGGUGCCGGUUCACGGCCUCUCCUCUCUCAUCCUCAGGUUUCCCCCGAACUUCGUCCGCCAGCUCAGCACCAAGGCCCGCAGGAACUGCAGCAACAUCGGCGUCGCGCAGAUCGUCGCCGCCUCUUGGUCGAACAACAACCCCAACUCUGGCGUGUCGGCGGCACCGUCGGCUACAGCCGUCGAUGCCGCCGCCACGGCCGCCAUUUCCGUCGAUCCGGCCCAGAUUUCGGGCGGUGACGAGGUGGCGGUGUUUGAAAAUGGUGUACAGUUGGGGGAGGCCUUGCCUUUGAAGGAGGCCUCGUUCUUGAGCUCCGAUGGGAGCCUCGCAAUUCAUGCUGGUAAUUUAACUAUAUUUUAUGGGGUUUUUUUAAUUAUGAUUUGCUUGGAUUAUUGUCUUAAUGUUACAAUUAAAAAGCUCAGUUCUUGAUAAUUAUGCGGUGAUUAGCGUGUGAGUAAAAAUUGGGACUUUUUGUUUUUGUGAAGGUGAAAGAUUGGGACGCGGCAUAGUAACUGAUGCAAUUACAACCCCAGUGGUUAAUACUUCUGCCUACUUCUUUAAGAAAACGGCUGACCUCAUUGAUUUCAAGGUAUGCAAUCACGCAUUCCAUAUACUUAUAUUUUCUUACGAUUUUCUGCAUAAUUGGGUGUAACUUUUUUGUAAUAUGCUGCAAAAGUUUGAAACUUUAAGAAAACAGACGAUAAAAUUGUGUUUUAUGUAUUGGGUAGCUGGUGAUUGAUGUGUUCUUGGAUGGUUUUGGUUUAUUGUCCUUUUACCUUGUUGCAGGAGAAACGCGCAACAAGUUUUGAAUACGGGCGGUAUGGAAAUCCAACUACAGUAGUGGUUGAGGAGAAGAUCAGGUUUGCAUGUCUUUCAUUCUCUUUUGUAUUUUAAGCCUGCCUUUUGUGCUUCGAAUCUAUGUGUUGAAUGUUUAUUGAGGCCAUGUUGUGGUGAACUGGUGAUGGUUAGUGCGCUUGAGGGAGCGGAAUCAACAAUGAUAUUGGCAUCUGGAAUGUGUGCUUGCACUGUCAUGUUGAUGGCAUUGGUUCCAGCUGGUGGGUAUAUCGUGACCACCACGGAUUGCUAUAGGAAGACUAGGAUUUUCAUUGAGACCAUUCUUCCAAAAAUGGGGAUCACGGUAAAAUUGUCCUGUUCUCAUUUUGUGCAAUGAUGUUGUUCUGAAUCUAGAGCAACAGAAUACAGGUGUUACUUUUCAAAUCGCCUGUGAUCCUUUGUUAGUGUUUAUACUUAUAGAUUACCACUCUCUAUGCAGGCCACAAUCAUUGACCCUGCUGAUGUGGGAGCCCUGGAAACUGCAUUGGAUGAGCACAAAGUCAGUGAGAAAGUAUUUAGCUUGCUUUUUUGAAAUUCUCUAUAACUUAGCAAAUAAUGGUGACCCUGAUUGUUUGUAAAAUUUACUUCGGGACAGGUGUCUCUUUUCUUCACAGAGUCUCCUACUAAUCCAUUCCUCAGGUGUGUUGACAUUAAGUUGGUUUCUGAGCUCUGUCACAAAAAAGGGGCGUUGGUCUGUAUAGAUGGCACUUUCGCCACACCUCUCAACCAGAAAGCCCUUGCCCUUGGGGCAGAUCUUGUUGUGCAUUCUGCAACGAAAUUUAUCGGUGGCCACAAUGAUGUAAGUCAGCAAGUGUCGAACCUAAUCAUUUGGAGUGAAUACUCAGUGUAUCAAUUAUUGUAAAGACUAAGCAAGUAUCAAUAUCUUAUUUCAGGUCCUUGCUGGUUGCAUUAGCGGUUCCAUGAAAUUGAUUUCAGAAAUUCGUACUUUGCAUCAUGUUUUGGGUGGUGCUCUCAACCCGGUGAGUCAUGUUUGUGGGUUAUAUAUGUUUCUCGUCUCUUAUUAUUCUCAGUUGUCACGUUGAUUGAUGGUGUUAAUUUCUACUUCCAUUAAGAAUGUAGGGUACUUCAACAAAUGAUUCCAUGCUCCCACUUAAUGCUUUAAUGGUUGAAGAAUGGAAUGAAUUGUAAGCUUACAUGAUAAUAAUAAUUGUUUUUUUUUUCAUCAACAGAAUGCUGCAUACCUGAUCAUUCGAGGCAUGAAGACCUUGCAUCUUCGUGUACAACAACAGAAUUCAACAGCAUUGAGGAUGGCCAAAAUUUUAGAGGCACAUCCUAAGGUAUAUAUUUUGUAAACUUAAGUAGCAUUAACUAAUGGGAGGCUAACUAAAUAGGUUUCCAGUGUGUGAUUACUGUUGGAAAGAUUAUAGAACAAAAGUUUAGGUUGGGAUUCACCGUUUUGUAUUUGAAAACAUAUGUUAUUGACAAUGUUUAUCGGCAGGUGGCACACGUCUAUUAUCCUGGUUUGCCUAGUCAUCCUGAACAUCAGCUUGCCAAGAGGCAGAUGACUGGUUUCGGUGGUGUUGUCAGUUUUGAGGUGAACAUUCUUGGCGCUAUCCCUUUUUGGUAUGUAGUUAUUAUAUUCAUUUGGUUAAUAAUGUUCCUUGAUCAUGCAGAUUGAUGGAGACUUGAUGAGAACCAUUAAAUUUGUGGAUGCACUGAAAAUCCCAUAUAUUGCCCCAUCCUUUGGUGGCUGUGAGAGCAUUGUGGAUCAGCCAGCCAUAAUGUCUUACUGGUAUUCCUUCUAAUUCUAUAUCUUAUGGUGGCUUAAUAAAUUUGAAGUUGUUAUGCUAUGCGGUUGAGUCUGAUAAUUUGGGUAGAUCUGUGAUCUUGAUAUGUCACAAUAUCGAGUCACUCCAGAUAACGUGUGAAGAUGCCUAGUUUCGGGGUUUUAGUCAAAAGUUAAUUUCGUAAUCAAAUAGCAGGUGCUUUGGCAUUCCUAGACAUGGAAGUGCAUUAAUUGGUUAAAAAUAUGUUUCUCGUAUUACCAAAAAUAAAUUUUACUAUGGAAACAUGAUGUACCCUGGAUGGAUGUCUACAUGUUGUAUUCAUAGCAACAUUUAUAGCUUGUUAUGCGAAGCUUAACCAAUUAACUUAGCCGAAAUUAUUUUCGUUGAAGUUUACAGUAAUGGAAUUUUCGUUGAUGCAACUGCUUGGUCAUUUAUACAUUGAUAUUGCUUGAUUAAUUUAGGUGGGCUGUAGAUACAGCAAGUCAGAUAGGAUCAAGUCCAUGAUUUCUGAUUGCUGUGUUUUGAUGCUCUUGAAACAGGGAUCUCAGCCAGCCUGAUAGGAUCAAGUACGGGAUCAAGGAUAACUUGGUCCGUUUCAGCUUCGGAGUCGAAGACUUUGAAGAUCUCAAGGCUGACAUACUGCAGGCCCUGGAGACCAUAUAGACUGUGGCCCGCCUCAUAUGCGGUUUUCUGUUUUAUUUCUCUUCUCCAUUGUUGCAUUGGUGCUUCAAUUGACUUUUGAUCACCAAAUGCUUUGUUCGGGUCCACUCGAUGGGUCGUUGUCGAUUCCAUCCGGACCCUAAACUUUGUCUAAUUUUCUUUUCCAAGUGCUCUUUCCAAUUCCUUAUCAUUCCAAUAUGACUAUGUUGGCUUUGUUUUUUCGUGUUAGAAUGAUUUGAAGUUGAAUGAGAAUUUAGAAUCGUUCCAAGUGCUUUGAAAUGAAUAUGAAGUUAUGAACCAUGGUUGAUCAUCAACUUUUUUCUACUGUGAUAAAUAAAACAGGAGCUGCUAUUUGCGCAGCAGAAUAGUUAUAGUGAACCAAUGCAAGGAAGAGUUGAGGAUGACAUUUUGAAGUGCUAAUAGCAAUUUACGUCGGAAAAGAGAUUUUUUAUGUGUACAUCGGUCUCCUCUUUUCAGAUACGAGGAGAUUUUUAUUUUUAGUGUAAUCUAUUGUGUGCGUACACUAGGUUUUUCAACCAUUGGAUUUUUUGUUAAAGAUUCAUUGACCAAGAUUUCACAACUGCAAAUUUAGAUGCAGUUGCGUAGGGCUUUAAAGUUGAAUGAACACAAACAAACUCUACUGCCCGAAAGUCGUAUGAAGAAGUCUUUUCCAUUCUGUCUGUUUCUUCGAGAUAAACAAGACUUAUUCUAUGAAAAAUCGUUCCGGCCAAGAAAAAGGCCAUAGGAUUUGAGAGAGAUCUAGCUAGUGAAGUUCACGUAGAUGGCGCUUGGUGAUCAUUUCAUCGGUAUUUGGCAUGCACGGUACACGAAUGAAGGACGGGAAAUGGAUGGUAUUAACCCAGAAUAUUUCUUAUGUCUCCAGCUAGAUACAGUUUGAUGCGCGGUGAUCCUUGAUUGAGGAUAAAUCGUAGGUUAGAAUGACAUAACUAAGACCGGUGACUUUUUAUACCUAAAAAAUGGCGCCGUCAAUGUACUUUGAAGCAUGCUAGAAUAUUUGGGAUACGAGUUUCGAAAUUCGGAAAGGGAUCGUCUCCGGAUUCCUUCUCCCUAAUCCAUCAAAUCAGGGAAUCCGUGUCAUUAAAAUUUGAUCAAACAGCUACAAAUAGAAGCCCACUCAUUUUAAAAGUUAUAAUAUCGUUAGAUCAAAUUUCAAUAUCACGGAUGCUCUUAUUUGAUGGAUUAGGAGGAAGGGAUCCGGAGACCCUAGUGGUCCGAAGUGUAACAUUUUCCAUUUUUGAACCUCAUUCAAGUUGUCGUGGUGACGGAUUUAUCAAAAUCGAAUGCCGUCUGCGGAUCGAGGAUGAGAGAAUAUGCGCAGCAACAUGAUCAAACAACGUAAAAACAACCAAAUAAAUCUGAAACUUUUGGAGAGUAUUCGGGUAAGGAUGAAAAAUCCAAAUGCACACCAACAAGAAAUGUACUUGAAAAAACCACCCCACCUCUCUCUAGCCCACUUUCCAAAUAUUCCCACUUGAGAGACAUUCUCAGGAUCCGGAUUAAAUUUAAUUUCUCUCUCUUAAUAUAAGAGGAAAUCCUGUGAGCAGUUGAUCUCCAGAGUUUGUUGAAAAGCCAUGAAAUUCGGGAAGAAGUUCAGGACCCACCUGGAGGAGACGCUCCCGGAGUGGAGGGACAAGUUCCUCUGCUACAAUCUCCUGAAGAAGCUCCUCAAGGGCUUCCCUGCCACCGCGGCUGCCAUAGCCGCGGUGGAUUCCCUCCCUCGCCAACUCGAGUUUCAGCGCCAGCCGGCAGAUGCCCAUCCGGCCGCUGCUGAUGGAGGUGAUGGUGGGUUCCACCCUUUGGCCGGACUCCAGGAUUGGUUCGUUGCGAUUCUGAAUGAGGAGCUGGAGAAGUUAAACAAUUUCUAUGUGGAUAAGGAGGAGGAGUUCGUUAUCCGUUUCCAGGUUAUUAUGAUUGCCUUUUUUUCUUCGUGUUUUCUUGAAUCUGCAUGUGUGGAUACAUAAAUACGCGCUUUAAUUUUGAUGGGUAGUUGAUGGAUUUGGCUUGCUUGUUAUGGAUGUUACAAAAAUUCAAUCUUUCUCUUCGUGUUAAGCGAUUUGCAGAUACUGGUGUUAUGCUGGUCUCUUAGGCCUUGAUUGGUUUCUAGUAACGGAUUGGAUUGGAUAACUCACUACGUUUAGUGUAAGUUGAACGAAGAAAUGGAAAUUUUGUCCGAGUUGAUGGUAAGAUUCAGAGGAUUCAGAGGGAGAAGUUUCUUUCAUGGCAGGAAUUCGGAGCUUGCGUCCAUUUCUUCAUUCAAGAGCCUUUGAAUCUAGUGAGUUAUCCAAUUCAAUCGACACCAAACGAGAGCAGGAUCUUAAGAUGAUUGAUAGGCACGAGUAGGAGUAGGAUGGCAUCUGUAAGCAAGUGCAUUUUAGCUAAGGAUUGUGUGUGGCUGGAACGAUUUGUUGAGAUAGAGUAGUGGUAAAAGAACACAGAAGAGUUCUAAAAUAUUUCUUGAAAACAAGGGAAGUUUUCAUAAUAAACAGGUCGAGCCUCGAGUCUCAACUAGUUGAAUUUCUCUUUUGAUCAUUAAAGUCGAGAACCUUUUCACUUAACUAAGAUCUCUCUCCUGGAUCAACGAAUGGUGUGUAAAUGGAAGUCUGUAUUUGUGUGGUGCUUGUUCGCUUGAAGCUAAGCCUUUUUUUUCCUGGUUAUCUGCUCUCAUCUGCAAACUGCAAUAAUGACAGGAACUGAAAGGAAGAAUCGAGAGCGUCAAUGAAAGGAGCAGCAGGGGUGGUGUAUUUACAUCAGAGAGCGAGUUCAGUGAAGAAGUGAUGGACAUCCGUAAGGACUUUGUCACCAUCCACGGGGAGAUGGUGCUUCUAAAAAAUUAUAGCUCGUUGAAUUUUGCAGGUACAACAGCUACUUCUUUUCACCUUCCAUAUUUAGCCUGUAUUGUACAACCGUUAGCAUCAGGGAAUUUCUUCAUUAUAUAUCUGCGUUAUCUAUUGCUAAAAUCAGCUGUCUUCUGGCUCAAUAGGGCUUGUCAAAAUUCUAAAGAAGUACGAUAAGCGAACUGGAGGAGUGUUGCGUGUACGUUUCACGCAACUAGCCGUACGCCAGCCUUUCUUUACAACAGAACCUCUCACGAGGCUAGUCCGUGAAUGCGAGGCAAAUCUCGAGCUUCUCUUCCCUUUGGAAGCGGAAAUCAUUGAAGGUACACCAACCACACAAGAUGAAACCACCCCAGACACAGGUCACUCAAACCCACAAUCCAAUGCUUCGGCAAAUAUUGCAUCUGAGACACCUUCAAACAUGGAGGCAAACAUGGAGGCAAACACGGAUAUAUAUCGUGGGACUGUUGCUGCAAUCAAAGCCAUUCAAGGCCUUCAAAACCCAAGCUCCACUUCCAGCCCAUGGUCGCUUUCAAAUCACUUAAGAAGCCAGGACGAGGAGAGCAGCGGUGCUGUCACAGCCGAAAAUUCUACGUCAAACUCUGUAGGCAGCUGGCAGAGCGAAGAGGAGGAUGACCAGUUGUAGUAGUGUUUAACCGAUCAGCUCCUGCAAUACAUCCUCCGUUUCUGAUCAAGAGGACGACAGUGUGCGUAACAGCGUUUAUCUUAAUGCUUUCGGUGUUACAUUCUUGUUUCCGCUUCUUGUGGCAACCGGAAUCCUAAACCCUAGGAGAAAUUUACCAUAGCAUAAUAGCACUAAUCUGAAAGUGGUGUAGUUCUUUCAGUAGUACUUUUCAAUGUUGUGCAGUUUUCUCAUUAGCAUUUGCUUGAAACUUAAAAUGUUGAACAACUUCACUAGAGCUAAAUCUCAUUCUGCUCUUCUUUUGUUAUCUUUUGAUUUUUGGUUCAUUUGUAACGCGUAGUGAUUUUGGCACACGUUUUUAUGCAUGAGAAGAAAAUGAAUGCGGAAAUUAUUUUCCUUGCAUAGCAUAGAACGAAUGACAAACUCCAACCAUUAGGAGUCUCGUUCUCAUGGUCAUCAGGUGACUAAGGAUGCAUGAUCAUUCACCUUAGAUUUGAUAUUAAAACAUUAAUAACACGUUCAUUCAUUAUCUUCCUUAAUAUCCGAAGAAGAAAGAACACCCAGAAACCCUCCGCCCGUGUAGAGAGUAGAAAUUUUUUAUGAUAUUGAAAUCUUCAAUGAGACAAACGUAACAAGAUAACAAGUCCCUAACCAUUCAUUUUUCACUUCUUUCUUGGGUCAUUUCAAUUCAUUUCAGAUUUUUUUUUUCUUGAGAAUCUUCAGAAUUGAAGGAUGAGCAUUUGAGGACUUUUCUCCAAGAGGACGUCAAUUUUUUGAUGUCCUUUUUGGGGAGACAAAAGAAAGAAUUUGAACCACUUGGUGGCCUCCUCCAUUUCUGUUUGGAUAGCAAUCUCUGGCUGGCUCUACUGUUUAAGUGGCCAUCAAAUUCAGUUGUAUCCACAGGUUUUAUGGCCCCAAAAUUAACUGCAAUAAUUGAGUGAGGCAUCAAGUUGCGUGCUGAUCUUUCAACCCUUUACUCAAGAUGUGGAUGUAGCCACGUUAGUUAGAGUGGUGGUGUUCUCGUUAUGCACUUGAAUUCCUUCCCUGUAGUUUAGAAUAUCGUUAAAAAAGUAGGAAAACACUUUAAACACUUGAUAACAAGCAAGAUAGGGUGUGUUCACUUUCCUUUUUGUUCAGUCUUCCAAACAAAAAUGAAGAGAACAAUUACAAUUGCCUAUUUUUCACUCAUAUUUUGCAAACAAAACGAAGAAAAGUGAAAAUAAAAAAUAAAAUUCUGCAACUUUCACUCCUAUCAUAUUUUGUCCAUGGAAAACAUGUUCAUCCGCUCCUGGUGUGAUCACGGUCGUAGUUGAAGGGUAGGGGUACAGACUUGAACGCCCGAUACUUUCCGACGUUGUUCAAGUGCUCAUUCUCCAACCUGCUUGGUAAAACAUCGAAUGCUUAUUAGUCGACAGCAGUUCAAGUUGCUCGAUUUUGGAGAGUUGAGUACUGAGGAGGAAAACAUACCGAAAGAAAUUCCAAAUGCCACGACGGAUGAUCUCUAAACAGGCAACUAUCGUGAUCAAGGCUGUUCUAUGGACGAAAGGUGCUCCUCUAAUUCCUAAUACUGACUGCAUCCAAGCGAGUCUCAGUAGAACAUUCAACCCCUGCAUCAUGUCACAUUAUUCGAUAUUAAUGUCAAACGAUAAGGAACGAAUGGCACUCCAUAAGGGUUGAAGAAGUCAGCUUGUAAGUUGUAAUCCUACCAUGGCAACAAAAUAAACAUUGUGGUUUGAUACGAGGAGUUUAUCUCUCAGCCAAGGGUUCUUAGAAUUUCGUUGCAGAAGACCCCAAUCAAUGACAAUGUCCCAGUAUGUACCGAAAACAGUUGCCACAACUGAACUAACUAUAGCGAGGAUUUUCCAUGUCAUCCCUGCUUUCAUAUCAAAACUUGUUCUCAUGGCUACUGCAACGAUUGUUGAGAAGUAUUUCAGCGCAUUUAACCCUUGCAUUCUGUCUUUCUCCUCUAUCAAGCGUCGCACACACUGCAAGCAGAGAACAGUUAAAACCAUAUACUUUCAUGAAGGAGAAAUUAAAGAGUUUUGAACACAGAAUACCUGAAGCGAACGCAUCCAAUAAGGAAUAAUUGCUACAAUGAAGUAGAAAGAUUUAAAAACGUGGCUGUCAAGGCAGUUGUGUGAUCUUUUUUUGAAGUCCCCCCAACCGUAAUAGCAAACGUAGAAUUCCAAACUCCUGAAGGCUUGAACCUGAAUGAAAAUUUACAACAUUACUCGAUCAUAAGCAACACAAGUAUCAAUACGCUAAAUGAAUCAUAGUAGUGUCAGUACCUGGCUAGUAAGCUGAUCUGCCAAGAAAAAAUCCGGGAGGGUAACCUACCGAAAAAACAAACAAAAUUUUUAUGUGUUCUACUUGAGCGUAUCCGAUUAGUAUGCCCACAGGAAGAAGUUAUGCUCUGGUUACCUUAUAAAGAGGAGCAAGAAGACAACGGAAUAUGCACAGGAGGAGGAAAUAUCGACUGGAACGAUAUAUAAUGUUGAAAGGACAAACCAUUAUAAGAAGCACAACCUGCAAAUGUAAUAUAUCCAUGAAAAAGAUUCAUGAGCAAACUGUUUUAACAAAGUAAAUCAGUUUUGUUGAAGAAUCUCUCUCUUACAAUGACUAGGCCCAGGGGGACCAAUUCUUUCACGGCUACGUAGCUUUUUGUUCUCGGAUCCAACUCCAUAUCCAAAUUUGAGAUGGUACCAGCCAAUGCGAGAAUUGCAAGUCCUGAACUGAUAAGGAAUAGCUGUCUGUAACCAAUCUCUGACCCUUGGUUGAAGCCAAAGAUAAAUGGAUAAUUUACACGAUAGCGCCUCCAAAAGAAUAUGUUCCCUGAGAACAUGAUCAGAUGUAGGACAAUGAAUCCAAACAAACUGCAAAAGUGGGAAAAUGAAUGAUCGUCAAGAAACAAAAAGCUAUGCAGGUUUAAAUUUCUCCACAGAUGUAGAUAUGAUGGGAUAACUAUUAUGCACACACUCGCCUGUACAGCGGAAAUAUGUUUUCCAUGUACAGAUCAUGCCCGUUGCUCUUAAGGAUAUUUCUUGCAUGCAUAAGCACAAUGAUGGCUACUGCAAGUGCAAUCGAGCCCCCGAAGAGCAGCCCUGCAGGUACACAACAUUAAAAUGAUCAUUGAUAUCUUGCGUAAGGUCCACUAGAUAUGGAAACUGAGAAAGAACAAAGAACUUGUCAUUCAGAUAGCACUACUCUUACCCAAGAAAAAUGUAUUUCUAUGCUUUUCCCUUUUGGUUUUCGGUCUUAAUGUCUUCAUUCCUUUUCUUCGAUUUCCAUUUGCGAAGUGCUUUAUGAAGGUACUCUCCACCCUUUCCAUAAGCCUAGUAACCUGCGAAGCCAAAGGAUGGAUCAUAAGAAAAAGCUUUAGACGGGCAAUGGUCUGGAUUCGUGGUAAUCGUCUGGAUCAGAAAAAAAAGCUUCACUCACUUCAUCGCUGCUACCGAGAUAAGAAUUAUCCACCAUAUUCAAGUAAGCCUUCGAUGCAGGCCUUGAAGAGAACUGCACAAUCACACGGUUAGUAUGAUCGAAACAAAUACUUUCAAUUUUGAAUGGAUGAAUCGGAAACAAAGCAACCAAACCUUGUCAUAUUUCUUCAUGAUCUUCGAGAAGGCCAAUUGAUUAAGGAAACUGCACCCUCCAUUAGCAAUAUAAUCAGUCAUACAUAGCACUAAUUUUUCGAGUAAUGUAAUCAGGUUUUGUCAUGUUACCAGUAGCUUUUCAAAAGCCGGAGCUUUUUGUAGAACUCGCUAAAAGCCUGUGUCAUUUGCUCUUCUACUUUCUUCAGCUCUUUCUUGCUGAAUGAUAAGUCGGGUUUCGUAUUCGGCUGGAAUAUGCUUUUGAUUGUUGAUACAGGAGUUUCAGGCACCACGUUGAUCUUUAUAUGAUUCAAAACCUCUAGUGGUUGUGGUUUAAACCCCUUAAUAUCCACCGUGCCUCUGUUGGGUUUCCGGUCAGCGGUUUCCAAUUCCUCGAUUCCCCUCUCUUCAUCUUCUUCCAAUAUUUCUCCUUCAUUGCUCAUCUCAACUUCUUGAAUUACAUCCAUAUCUUUCCCUCCUUCACAGUCAAAACAAAUACUUCAAAUAUUAGGGAAAAAUGAAAAAAAAAAAUCUUAUUGAAUUAAGAAUCUUAUGCGCCUUUUUUCACCUUCUGCACUCCUUCCCUCAAUUAUGUAAUUGAUUUAUGGCUCGAAAAAAAAUGGAAUGCAGAAGGUGAAAAGGGUAAUUCGGAAAAUCACUUCCUUCCCCAAAUCUAUUGAACUUAAAGCCUAUGUUAUCUAAAGUUUCAAACUUUAUAUAACAUGGAAUCUACUAAGAAACCAAAAGAAAUACAACUAAAAAAGUUCACAUUUAUUUUUUUGCUUCUUAAUUACCUGUUUUUCUACCACUUGGAUGAACAAAUGAGACUGAAGAAAUCCCAUUGCUUGCCAAUUCACUUCCUCCUCCAAUAUCCACCUUUGGAUUAUCAACCUUUAACCUAAGAGCGAUCAAACCAUCCAUCUGCCUACUCAACUCCUCAGCCUCCUCCACAACUUCCCCAACUUUCUUCUUGUAAAAGCAAUUCACUUUGUUAAACUCAUCGUCCAGGCUCCUAAAAAACACCUCCUCAAACUCUCCUCCGUCCUCGGACGGCAUCAAGAACCUUGUCUGCCACUGCCCUUCCUCCCCUUCUUCAGCCACAAGUAUCUCCUCGUCCUCCAUCUUCCUCAGCGAGCCGCGUUGUCGGCUUGUCAGCCCACUGAAUGCUCUGUAGAGUGACACCCUCCGCUUUAGUACCGACCCUGCCGGCGUCGUGGCCAUUGGUGUUGAUGAUGCAUAUUUCUUCCGGAAACGCAGGAUGUCUUUUAUGAUAAGCUUGAGAGAGUUGUAGUCCAUGUAUGCUUCUCGCCAUUCCGGCACCAUUUGCGAAACGAACUCUUUUCCGAACUUCAUCUUCUUCCUCCUCCAACCAAGCCCUCAACGAGUACGUAGCUCAGUUGAUUACGAACAUUCACUCUUGCACUCGGAAGCUUUGGUUUAUUUAGGCAACCGUGUUGCGUUCUUGCUUUUGUACAUUGCUUCUGUUCAGAUGUGAGAUUCGAGAAAGAAGACGUUCUCUGUACAAGGAAGGUUGUCUCGUAUCAUUUAACGUGAAUUUUAUUUUUAUUUUUGGUAAAAUCCAAAUCAAUAUAACAUGUAGAAUUCUUUAUUUUUGGAAGCUUCCCUCCUUAUUUUUCGACAAAACAACGCCCAAUUCAAAUUUAAACCUAUUUAAUCUACGUGAAAGAGAAUUAGAACUACAUGCAAAUGGGCAAUAACAAGCAAACUGACUUAGGUGCAGUUUGGGAUUGAGAUGAUUAAAAAAAAAACUGGUAUGAAAAAAAGUCGGGAGUUUUUUUGUGUUUGGUAAACAUUCAGCUUCAGUUUUUUUUCACAGUUUUGGGUGAAAAAAAACUAAAAACAAGAAGCUGCAAAACCCAGCUUUGAAAAACCGGCUUUUUUCACAUCUGUUUUACAUAAAAGUUUACCAAACACUAUAAUACUACUUUUUUUUUUUUCCAAAAGCAUUUUUACAAAAAAGUUUACCAAACACUCUACAGCUUUAUUUCACAGCCGUUUAUUCUCACAGUUCAGUAGAAACAGUUUUUUUUUUUCAAAACACAACAAUACCAAACCAGCCCUUAGAUUGACUGACCUAAUCCACGUCCGUCGAUAUUAAAGAUCGCUCGCCAACAUGCUCCACUGUUAUCUACUUGUUACAACCACACCUAUCACCUGUGGUCCUGCUUUUUGUUGUCUUCCAUGGAUGAAUAUGCAGUCGCGGACGUAUGCUGUCAAUGAUGUAACAGGAGUAAAUGUACUCGACCAAGACUGGGGUAACCAGAGUAAAUGCACUUGACUAAGACUGGACUAUAUUUAGUUAGCUGGCUUUUCAACAUUUGUUCUUAAUUUGAUUUGUUCCUUUACAUGCUAAGAUCUUUUCUCUUUUGAUCACUUGCGUUGUACAAAAAUUAACGCAGAAUCUGCAACUCUCGAAUGUGCAGAUAAGCAAAUUUCAUGGUGGAUGCUAUAACUUUCUUAGGCCAUCAUGUUGAUAAUUUGUGUAUUUGGGAUGGGAUGAUCCUUCCUCAAGCUAUAAAUGCUUCCUUGUUUGACUCUCGACGUCUCUUAAAAUUAAUACUUUUGUUAAUCACUUGAGUUACAAAAAAAGACUGUGUUACAAGAUAUGAUGAUUUGUUGCAUUAACUUUGGUUAGGUAAUAUAUACAAAUUACACUAAAUUUUUGGGGGUAAAUUACAUAGUAGCCCCUCAGGUUUGAGCUCUAUUGCAAUCUCAUACAACAUCUUUAAAACAUUUUACUUUCAUACCUCAAGUACUAUUUUAUUUCAAUUUCAUACAACCGUUAGAUUUUCCAUCCAUGGAUCUGUUAAAUGCUGACGUGGCUGCCACAUAUAUGACACGUGGCUGCCAAAUGUCUGCCACGUGGCAAAAUAAAUAAUUUUUUUAAUUUAAAAAAAAAAACACAUACUUUGUUCACUUUUUUUCUUCUUUCUUCUUCUUCUUCUUCUUUUUCUUCUUCUCUUCACCUUUUCUGGGUUCGAUUCUUUUUUCUUCUUUCUUUUCUCCCUCCUUCUUUUCUUCUCCUCUCUUCUUUCUUCUUCCUCCUCUUCUUCUGGAUUCGAUUCCCUUUCUUCUUUUUUUUUUCUUUUUCUUUCUUCUUCUUCUCUUUCUUCUUCUCUUCUUCUUCUUCUCUCUUCUUCUCUUCUUCUUCUUUCUCUUUCUUCUUUCUUUUUUCUUUUUCUUUUCUUCUUCUUCUCUCUUCUCUUCUUCUCUCCUUCUUCCUCUCUUCUCUUUCUCUUCUUCCUCCUUCGACCUUUUUUUUUUUUUUUUUCUCUUUUUCUUCUUCUCUCUUUCUCUUUCUUCUUCUUCUUUUCUCUUUCUUUUUCUUUCUUCUUCUGGGUUCGGACCUUUUUUUUUUUAUCUUCUUCUUCUUCUUCUCCCUCCUCCUCCUCUUUCUUCUUCUCUUCUUCUUCUUCCUCCUUUUUCUUGGUUCGGUCCCUUUUUUUUUUUUUUUUUUUUUUCUUUCUUCUUCUUCUUCUUCUUCCUCCUUCUUCUGGGUUCGGACCCCUUUCUUUUUUCUUUUUUUUUCUUCUUCUUCUUCUUCUUUCUCCUCCCUCCUCUUUCUUCUUCUUCUUCUCUUCUUUUUCUUCUUCUUCUGGGUUCGGACCUUUUUUUUUUUUCUUCCCAAUUUCAGGUUUUUAAAAAAAAAAUUAAAAAAUUAUUUUAUGGGUUCGGACCUUUUUUUUUCUUCCAAUUUCAGGUUUUAAAAAAAAAAUUAAAAAAUUAUUUUAUUUGCCACGUGGCAGACAUUUGGCAGCCACGUGUCAUAUAUGUGGCAGCCACGUCAGCAUUUAACAUAUCCAUGGAUGGAAAAUCUAACGGUUGUAUGAAAUUGAAAUAAAAUAGUACUUGAGGUAUGAAAGUGAAAUGUUUUAAAGAUGUUGUAUGAGAUUGCAAUAGAGCUCAAACCUGAGGGGCUACUAUGUAAUUUACCCAAUUUUUGGGGUGGGGUUUCACACAUAACUAGAUAUAUACACAUUGAUACAAAUAUAUAUUUACAUUUAAUGGUGAGAAAACAAAUUGAUAUCAGUAUUGAACUCGUCAUUAAAAAAAAUUAUAAUCUAACCAAAAAUUAAGUAUGGUUGUUGGAUGGUGUUUUGGUUGAGGAGGACGAUUAUAAAUCGGAUAAUGCUAGGAAGACCAAAAUUUUAAACCAAAAUUUGCAAAUCAAAUGAUAUGUCACAAAUAAGAAAUAAGCGUGUUAAUCAACACUUAAGUAACAACUCAAUCAUCAAAACAUCAUUUGGUUUACAAAAUUUAGUUUAAAAUUUUGGUCUCUGUAGCAUUAUCCUUAUAAACCGUUAGGAUUUAAAUAAUGUGAUGGUAUUUUUUUUUUUAAUAAACGAUAUUAUCUAUAUUAAGGGAGGGGGCGCGGGCUUAAUGUAUUUGGUAUUUAAAUUUCAAUAAUGUGAUUUGGUAGGCCAAGAGUUGUACACGUUUUGCACCAAAAUGUGUUUCAAAUAUCUAAUUACAGGGUACAUUUUUGCUCAUAACUCUCAAGUGGUGGUCAUGCUCACCAUUUUAUUUCUUAGUAUUUGAUUAGUUUAAAUUUUAAGAUUUACGUCUAUUCACUACAUACAUCUCGAAAUUUAAACUCAUCGAAAUGAUAUAAAUAAAAUAGUGAGCAUAACAUCACUUGAGGGUAGUGAGCAAAAAUAGAGAAAUACUAAGGAAACUCUCAAAAGUGGGAUUCUCCAUAUACUAUUUGCUAUAUAAUGUUAAAGUGACAGAAUCAACAAAAAGUCUCGCUUUAAGAUAAUAUCCUCGGUAUUUCUCGCAAAAAUAUUCCUUAUAAUUACAGCUGGGACAUGCACAUUAAUAUUGCCAACGACAAAUGCAAUCUUAUCCUUCUAAAAUCAAUAUGCAAAUUUGAAAUUAUUCGGUAGGCUAACUAACCCAAACAAUCAUACUUUGGCCACAAGAAGCGACAUCUUUGAGGGUGUUUUUUAUUACAACCCGAUAUUUUAAUUUUAUUAUGAGAGUUUGAGUUUGAAUGCUAGACAUUUGCACGAAUUAUACUUUGGCUAAGUUAGUAAAGUCUCUGCAUUGUGUGUCACCUCACUAAUGUUUGAGUCUCGCUGCCAGCAAUCCUCGUUAAUUUGUAAUCUAUAAAUUUUUUACGUAAAUUCAUACCGGUGACGUGUAAGUCCUUUCAAAUCGAGAUUAUGAGUAUGUCUUGACACUACAAAUUUAGUCCUUCCACUUAGCAUUACCAUUUAAUUUUGGAACCCAGUUAAAGCACCAGCAAUGAGCUGACAUGUCGGCACCUCAUUGGCUCCACCAAAAAUUAAUACCAAAAGAGGGCUUUACUCCCAGAAACCAAGACGUUGACAAACAAAACAGAUCUCCACCACCGUUUGUUGAGAAGCUCAAAAACUCCGACCAAAAAACAACUUCCAAAUUCCGCCAUCGGAGCCGCCACCCACGGCCGGGGUUUCUCUUUCUCGCACAAAAUGUCCCGAGUCAAUUUUGGUAUAAUUCUGAUUCUGGGGUUAAUGUCGACGGUAGCGCAUUCCAUGCGGUUCGACCUCCAAUCGGGCGCCACCAAGUGCAUUUCCGACGACAUAAAGAGCAGCGCCAUGACCGUCGGCAAGUACGCCGUCGUCAACCCCAAUGAGGGAUCUCCUGUACCUGAUUCCCAUAAGCUCACUGUCAGGGUAAUCCCCACACCAUUUCUGUAUGUGGGUCUGUUUCUAUAUCUGAAAAUAUGAUCUGGGUUUUCUUUACUACCAAUUUUACAAUUGGGUUUUUUGUUCAAUCCUGUUUCGAAUCUGCUUUCGGAGUCAAAUGUGGCAAAAAGAUUGAAUCUUUCAGAGUGAAGUUUAAUGUUUAGGCAAAGCAUUGAUUUCUGUAAAUUGGGUAUAUAAUGAUUUGCCUUGUAAGGUUGGAUUUUUGGGAACAGUUUGGAGAUUUGAUCUGGUGAUGCUGUGGUUUGUAACAGGUGACCUCACCUCAUGGAAGUAACUAUCACUAUGGGGAUCAUGUGGAGUCGGGAAAUUUUGCGUUCACUGCUGCAGAGACUGGUGAUUAUUCAGCUUGCUUUUGGGUGUCGGAUCAUAAGCCCUCGACCACGGUGACGAUUGAUUUUGACUGGAAAACUGGUGUUGCUGCUAAGGACUGGUCCAAUGUUGCCAAGAAAGGGCAGAUUGAAGUAAGCAAUCUUCUGCUUGCACAAUGUACAUACCUGCAUUUCGAUAUUUGUUUUUGGUGUUUAUUCCCUUUUUGUGAAUUCUGUCAUAAGCGUAAACUUUGUUCUUCCAUUCUUCAGAAUUUUAUCAGGAAAUGUGAUGCUAGUGAACCCAAAAACUAGGAACACAAGUAUUUGUGGAUUAUGGAUCGAUACUAUGAAGAACAGAGGAUUUCUAAAACUCGUUAGAUUCACAAAAGUACCAAGGAAAAAGAACAAAACUGGAGUCUUUUUUUUUUCAUCUUCUUUCAAUGUAAUAAUAGUUGGUAUGUCUCUUGUGGGCUAGAAAGGCUCUUAUUUAAAGAGUUAGCACCCUCGAAGGAACAGGAUUCGAUAUUGAAAUCUGCCAAUGUUAAUAUUGUUAAUCUGGUUCAUCAUUAAUUAGUAUAUUAACGUUGUAGAAACAUCAAAUGUACUGGUCAAAAGGUACGGUUUUAUGUCUUGUGCUGAUACAUUUUUUUGCCUUGUGCUAGUCGAUGGAACUUGAGCUGAAAAAAUUGUAUGAUACUGUAUCAUCCAUUCAUGAUGAGAUGUUUUAUCUACGUGAAAGGUACGUAAUCAGUAUAUCUUGUGUUGCUAUUUCCAGCACAUGUGUUGGGGUUUAACUUAUAUGAUGUCACCUUAUAAUCCAUGUGCAUGCUUGCAGUUAAAUUGGUUUUCUGUAAAAUUUGAGAAUGUGCUGCUUUAUUCUUUCAAUAUUGCUUAUCGUUGUCACUCUAGUCCAGAUGAGAGAUGAAAGUAAUAGGGACGGUUUCCCGUUCCACUUUAUUUUCUCUCCCCAUUCUUUUGCUUCUUCUUCCUCUUUCCCAUGUUAAAACAUCUCCCUUUAGAAUGAUACCGUUGAAUCCUGCGUAGGACUCAGAUGGUUGUUCCUUUCGGCCACUUAUUAUCAGGAAACUCGUAGAGAACUGUCUGCAACUUUUUGCUAUCAAACAUCUUGCAUUCUUAGAUGCUUUUACACCAGUAACUCAUUUGAAUCGAAAUAUUAGACCCCAUUUAUUCUGAGAUUUCUUUGAUUGAGAAGAGGCGGCAUGUUUCUGUUAUACCUGAUGUUACAUUUUUCCGUUUUCCCUUGUUCUCUUUUUCUUGUCCUGGCUUUUUUCAGGGAGGAAGAAAUGCAACAACUUAAUAGAUCAACUAACUCCAAGAUGGCGGUUUUUAGCGGCCUUUCUCUUUUUGUAUGCCUGUCGGUGGCUGGUUUGCAACUAUGGCACCUCAAGAUGUUCUUUGCGAGGAAGAAGCUCCUCUAGUACCGCUUUGUACUUACUUUCUCAAUUUUUGUUCUGCAGUUAUAUACUCACACUAUUUGUUGUUCCCUGUAUUUUGAGGCCAAAUCCUAAGUUGGACAGUGAUUUGUUCUACUGAGAGGUUAGCUUCUAGGAAGGAGUCCCAUCAGAGUUUCGGUUUGUUUUGUUGAAACUGGUUCUCUACUUUUUUCCAGAGCAAGGAAACUGAUCGACUUCAUCAACAUCAUUUGCAGUCCCCUUCAAUACUUAACGUAUGAGACCCUUCAUCAACAUCGUUCGGCAAUUAAAUAUAUCGUUGUAUCAAAAAAAUUGUUUAUGUGGCUUUGAUUCUCGUACGCGUGAAGUAGGUUGUCUGAGUUUGAAUACCAUAGGCAUUGUUUAUGACUUCCUGUUGUAACACAAGACUCAUAUAUUAAACUCCAUAAUUGAAUUCACCUCUAUACGACUCAAAUUUUCCAGCCCACCGUAUGAGUUUGAGUCUAAUUUAUAAGAAUCCAACACAUUUUAUCGGGAGCUGUUAUUGACACUCUUACUCUGUCAUUAAAUUAGAAUCAAACUCAUUUUAUCAGCAAAUAUUAUUGUCACUUUAAAAAUGCCGUUUUUUACUCAUUAAAACAUUAUCCCAGUAAAAUUUUUACCAAUGUGUGCUAGUAGUGCUCAUUUCUUAGUUAUAAUAUGAUAUUUUUCGAGCGUCAAUAACAACUCACGUUAUCAAUUAAAAUAUCAAAAUCAUUGUUUGUAGGAGCAAAGGUCCCGAGUUCACUAACACAGUUUUAAAAUACCGUAAAUACCCGAACCAAUGUUUCAGUGACCAACAAACCCAUGCCGCUGCCGGGGCAACAACAAUGGCAAGCAAGCCUGAGCUUCAGCCUGGCCUACAUGGCCCAGAACUGCCUCUCCAUGACACACCUCAAGCAAAUCCACGGCCGCGCAGUCGUCACAGACCUCCACCACCACGCCAUCGUCCUCGCCAAGAUGUUCCGUUUCGCCGCCAUCUCACCCGCCGGCGACUUAAGCUACGCCCACCGCCUGUUCGACCAAAUGCCCCGACCAAACACUUUCUUCUACAAUACCCUCAUCCGUGGCCACUCUAAAAGCUCGUCUCCUUCGGAAUCGGUGGUUCUUUUCAACCAGAUGAGGCUUAACUGCGUCGACCCAGAUGAGUUUACCUUCACGUUUUUGCUGAAAUCGCGGUCAAGGAUGAAAAUUGAUGCUGCUCCGAUUGUGGGGUCCGAUGAGAUUCAUGGGAUUGCGUUGAAGUUUGGAUUUUGCGCGCAUUUGUUUGUACAGAACGCAUUGAUUCAUAUAUAUGGGGCGAGAGGGAUAACGGUUGCGGCGAGGCGAGUUUUCGAUGAGGCGGUGGCUCCUGACGUCGUUUCGUGGUCGGGUUUGGUUAUUGCGCAUGUGAGAGCUGGGGAAUUGGAGUUUGCACGGCAGGUGUUUGAUGAGAUGCCUGAGAGGGAUGUGGUUUCCUGGACUGCUAUGAUUUCUGCGUAUUCCCAAGCAAAGUAUUCGAGGGAAGCGCUUGAUUUGUUUUGGGAGAUGAAUCGUGAGGGAGUGAUGCCUGAUGAAGUCACCAUGGUGAGUGUAAUCUCAGCGUGUGCAGAUUCCGCAGAUGUAGAAACGGGGAUAUGCAUCCAUCGAUAUAUUGAUGAGAACGGGUUUUUGUGGAUGGUUUCACUUUGCAAUGCGCUGAUUGACAUGUACGCAAAGUGUGGAUGCAUGGACCGAGCAUGGCAACUGUUCAAUAAGAUGAGCCGGAAGAGCUUGGUCACUUGGAAUUCGAUGAUUUCAGCAUGCGCUAACCAUGGCAAUGCCGAUGAUGCAUUUGGUUUGUUUGAGUGCAUGACCGCUGCUGGUGUUGCACUGGAUGGUGUCACCUUUUUAGCCCUUUUAGUUGCGUAUACACACAAGGGAUUGGUAGAUGAAGGGCUCAAACUAUUCGAGAGAAUGCAAACAGACUAUAGAAUUGAGGCACGAAUUGAGCAUUAUGGUUGUGUGGUUGAUAUGUUAGGGAAGGCAGGACGACUAGAGGAAGCAUACAGAUUGAUUAGUAGUAUGCCAAUUCCGGGCAACGAUGUUGUUUGGGGAACACUGCUUGCAGCUUGCAGAACUUAUGGGGAUGCUGAUAUGGGGGAGAGGGUGGUGAACAGGCUGUUAGAGUUGAAACCAGAUGAAGGGGGAUACUACAUUCUCCUUCGUGAUAUUUAUGUCGCGGCCGGAAGGACAAUGGAAGCAAAUGCAACGAGGCAAAGCAUGAAGGUUAACGGUGCUAGUAAGACUCCCGGAUGCAGCUGGGUGGGAGCAUAACGGUGGCUAGAAGAAGAGUAGAAAUGUAAUCCAUGAGUCUUCGGCUUAGUUUGGUAUUAUUCGCUUGGAUCGCUUACAAAACGUCAAGCGUUAUUAAAAAUGUAACAUCUUUCACGAUUGUUUAGGUGAGUUUGAUUCAUAUACAUAUUAAACUCAAGAACUGUAAUCACUCACCAAACUCAAUUUUUCCGACCUACGAGUGUGAUUCUAUACAAAUUGAAACCAAAUCCAAUUUUCAAGCCCAUUGUGUAGCAAUAAUGUAAAAUCUCACAUCGUCCAGGGAGUACAUCCUCUAAGCCGUAAAUGUAUAUUCUUAUAUCUACCUAGCACAAAGCCUUUUGAGAACUCAUUAGUUUCAGAUUUCAUCAAAACUCCGAAGUUGAGUGAGUUUGGAUGAGUUUGGACGAGAGUAUUCCUAGGAUGGGAUGACUCUCUGAGAAGUUCUCGUAUGAGUUCCCAAAAACAAAAAUGUGAGGGCGUGAUCAAGGCCCAAAACGGACAAUAUCGUAAUAUGACAGAGUCGAACCUGAGAUGUGAUGAGGGCCCGAACCGGGAUGUGACAGAUAAAAGGUUCAUGGAUAAGCUUAACACAUGAAUUAAUGGACUAAACACAAUCCAAUCCAGUUUUAAGUAAGUUUAUUUAGGAGCAACGAUGCACACACGACCACACGCUUGAAUUCGGAUAGCCUCCGUUUAGCGUUUAGAACACACACUCAAACAUGUAACACAACACCAUACCAUUCAAAGGAAAACAUGCCUAAACCCUUUUAUUUAGUAGCUAAAGCACGGCAUGGAUCUCCCGUUAAUAAGGCGGUAAGUAUUAUGAUCACUCAUCGUCAUAGCUCUUGCGAUGGUGGUGCUUGUGGCGGCGCUGCUUUUUCUCCUCAUCGUCAUCUGAGUCGUCAUUUCCCUGCCAUAUUCAGAUAAGAGCAUCAGAUGCAGAUAACACAAGCCAGCCAGCAGUGAUGGGCAAAUAAAAGGAACAUUUUCACACUUUCAGACCACCUUCACCAGAGAUGCAAAGAAUUUACCCAAAGACUACAGAAGGGUGAAGUUGAUUAGGAAACAGAAACAUCAAAGACCUAUAUGCAUUGCUUAGAUUCGAGCAUGUAGUGACACACCCCGACCGCGAUGUCAAAUGAACACCGAAACCAAGACGUGUUGGCCAUCAUCGGGGUGGGUGACGAAGCCAUAACAUGCAUAAAAACGUAACUAAAAAAUGAAGAGAUUAGCCCAUCAUUAAUAUAAAUAACAUGAAUCUAAACAUACAAAUAAAAUUUAAAAGAGCGAAGCGAGGUUCUCACAUAUUUCUUGCGACCAUAGCCUUCUUCACCGUACUUCUGCUCCUCGCUCCUCCCAUAACUGGGCUUCUCGUACUCCCCACUUUCCUGGCCCUCAUAGCUGGGCCUCUCAUAGCUAGGCCUCGGGGGUGGCGGCUCAUCUCCAUAACCGGUCAUCCUCGGCGGUGGUGGCUCAUCUCCAUAACCGGUCAUCCUCGGCGGUGGCGGCUCAUCUCCAUACCCGGUCCUCCUCGGCGGUGGCGGCUCAUCUCCAUAGCCAGUCCUCCUCGGCGGUGGCGGCUCAUCUCCAUAGCCGGUCCUCCUAGGCGGUGGCGGCUCAUCUCCAUAGCCGGUCCUCCUCGGCGGCUCUUCGCCGUGACCUGGCCUCUCAAACUCAGAACUCCCAUAGCUCGGCCUCUCCUCGCUUUCUGGCGUCUCAUAGCUCGGCCGCCCAUAGCUUGGCCUUCUCGGCGGCUCUUCGCCAUAACUACCCUCCUCACCAUAGCUCGGCUUUCUCGGUGGCUCUUCGCCAUAACCAGAUUCCUCACCGUAGCUCGGCUUCCGACCAUACCCAGAUCCGAAUUCAG
rnacentral:lncRNA from 1 species